rnacentral:tRNA from 1 species
UGGGGGGUCGUCUAGUUGGCAGGACGUCAGGUUUUGGUCCUGAAAAGGAUGGGUUCGAAUCCCUCCCCCCCAG